GGCGUUUUGACUGAGACUACGCCUGGCAUUGCUGAUUUGUUGAUUGGAUCGAAUGUGGAGAAGGAGAAGAGUCAGUGAAGAAGUAAGGGCAUUUUCGUAAUAGGUUUCAGAUAGGAGGACAUAACCGUCACGCUGGUAGGAGCAAUCUUAUAUGAUUCUAUCUCUGCGAUGAGGAUGAGUUUGAUGACCCCGAGACAAAUAUGAAACAAACGAUGAUCUUACCCAAGCUUCAAUCUUUGUUUUCUUUUGCGUUUUUUUUUCUUUGCUAAACUCAUGAUGAAUUACUUCCUAACUUAUUGAUCAGUUCUUUGUGGUUUAUCAUUUCUUUAUGUGGGGAAAUGAUCUCACUUUGAGUAAUGGUUCCAGCAAAAGGUACAGCUUCUCUAUUGAUACUUAAUCUGCUUUCGAUAUGGGUACUCCACAUCAACUUAUAUUAUACUAUUAAUCUCUCUUGCGUGUUUGAUCGAUUAUUAAUCUCGAUUCCGGAGAGUUUCUCGCCGUCAAACAGCAGAGAUCUAGCUCAUUGUUCCCUUAUGAACUUCAAGAGGCUGUGCUCCUACCGCUGAGGCACAUCGUCUUCUUCGGUCACUUUACUCAUAUUCAAACCUUAAACUGAAGCUUAAUACAAUCCAAACAUUGAUCUCAGUUUCGCACUUGUCAGUGUUUGACAACCUUGUGCAAAAUAUAUCUUAGAAAAGACGUUAAGUAAUAGUGGAUUCCGUAUUAAUGUCCUACUUGGAGCAGCUUUGGCAAUGGCACCACGUAGCAAUGAUUUGGUAGGCCUGGCUGAAGAUUUUAAUGUUUGAAGAAAUUAUAAUUUUUGCUACACAAUAAUUUUUUAUAUCAAUAUUUAAAAAUAUAUGAAAAACAAUCAUCAGAAUUGUCAUUUUCUUAUUUUACUCAGUGUUUUCAUGUCCUAUCGAGAUCUGAUGUCAAACCAAUAAACCUGGUGGUCUGUA